rnacentral:rRNA from 1 species
AUUGAACGCUGGCGGCAGGCCUAACACAUGCAAGUCGAGCGAGCGGCGGACGGGUGAGUUAUGUGUGGGACUCUGCCUGAUGGAGGGGGAACACCACUGGACACGGUCGAUUACACCGCAUACUCUUAGCAGCGCCCAUAUGGGAUUAGCGAGUAGGUGGGGUAAUGGCUCACCUAGGCGACGCCCCCUAGCUGGUCUGAGAGGAUUACCAGCCACACUGGGAAUGAGACACGGUCCAGACUCCUACGGGAGGCAGCAGUGGGGAAUAUUGCACAAUGGGCGCAAGCCUGAUGCAGCCAUGCCGCGUGUGUGAAGAAGGCCUUCGGGUUGUAAAGCACUUUCAGCGAGGAGGCGUUACUCGCAGAAGAAGCACCGGCUAACUCCGUGCCAGCAGCCGCGGUAAUAC